rnacentral:rRNA from 1 species
AGUCAAGAACGGGUGUGAGAGUGGAAAGUUCACACUGUGACGGUAGCUUACCAGAAAGGGACGGCUAACUACGUGCCAGCAGCCGCGGUAAUACGUAGGUCCCGAGCGUUGUCCGGAUUUAUUGGGCGUAAAGCGAGCGCAGGCGGUUUGAUAAGUCUGAAGUUAAAGGCUGUGGCUCAACCAUAGUUCGCUUUGGAAACUGUCAAACUUGAGUGCAGAAGGGGAGAGUGGAAUUCCAUGUGUAGCGGUGAAAUGCGUAGAUAUAUGGAGGAACACCGGUGGCGAAAGCGGCUCUCUGGUCUGUAACUGACGCUGAGGCUCGAAAGCGUGGGGAGCGAACA